UGUUUGUUAAUCAAGUUGGAAUUUCGUUUUUAACAAUGCUACCAACCAGACGUACAAGCUUAGGCCGCAGAACUCGAAAUACGGCAAGUCAAAGAAAUAUAAGAGCAAAUCAAACUGAUGAGCAACGCGAAGCGCGAAAUGAACUUGAACUGAAUCGAUAUCAAGAUAGAAAUGUUGUGUUUAAUCCCCACAAAGCUGCAUUCAGUUAUAAUGUGGCAAUUGAUUACAGUUCAGAGCAAAUUGUUGCUAUUGGACUAAUGAACAUUGUGUGUCCACAUUGGGAUUGAAAUUCAAAAAUGAAGCCUCUGGAUUGUGUUGCGCCAGCGGCCAAGUCAAAUUGACGCCAUUGGUACCGCCACCAGAGCCACUACAUUCAUUGGUUAAUUUUUUGACUCAUAUCCAGCAGUACAAUAAUUGCUUUCAAAUGACAUCAUUUGGGGCAACAAAAGUUAUACGAGACAAUUUUAUGCCUACUUUUAGUAAAUUCAGGGAUUCAAAUAUAUCAUCAAACAGGUUCCUUAUUGCCAGUGCCUGUUGAAGACUAUACAUUUUUGCAAAUAUAUUUUAUGGACAAUUCAGCAAGAGAAGUCGAUCAGCGUUGCGCACACAACAACUCAGUAAAAAGAUCCAUUGUGAUGAACAACUUCAAACAUUUUUCCAUCAACACAAUGAAUUAGUUGCAUUAUUCACAAAUGCAUUAGACCGCAUGCCAUCAGAUAAUCACAAAAUUGUCAUCAGAGCCGAUAAGGCGCCUGCAGGACAAAAUGCUGGACAUUUUAAUGUGCCAACAAUUGAUAAAGAGCGCGCGUGGUAUUUAACUCAG